UGAUCUCAGAAGGCCAAGCUAGACCUAGUGUGCCUCUUUCUCUUCCUGCUGCCUGUGUGGAUCCAGACAGAGAACUCUCAGCUCCUUCUUCAGCACCCUGUCUACCUGCAUACCACCAUGCUUCCCUCCAUGAUGAUAAUGAACUAAAACCUCUGAACUGGAUGUAGGAAAGCUUAGAACGCCAGGCUUGUCCAUGGUUGGCAUCAGCUCCUCACUGCUGCAGUCUGAGCUUCAGUGCUGGAGAAGAAAGGGAUGUCGGAUGGCGGAGCAUGCUCAGGAUUGUACAGUUGGAGGGUAGUAAAGCCAAGACUGAAAGUGGUGUAUUAUCCAUCAGCAUCCACGCCCAUUGCCUCAGAGCUGAUCUGCCAGCAUCCUGUCUUCCAGGCGUUUACAGAGAAUCUCAGAAUCAUGACAACCUCUACUGGGGAUUUCUAAGCACAUAACAGAACUAGUGAACAGAGCCAAGCACCCGCAGCACAGUGUGUGUUCCAAAGCUACUCUCCCCUACACACAUUCCAACCCUGCAAGACACAUAAAAAAGAGAAGCAGCUUACCAAACGCCCUUAAACUUUAAGAGAAGAAGGGGAAACCUUGGGAGUAAAGACAAAAGGAGAAGCCAAAGCCAGGACGAGAAGUGAGAGCAGAUGCCACAGACUGCCGUAGGCAUUUAACCUAGGCAUUGGGGCUCAAAAUCGGGGCUCCCCAGAGACAGGAAACUUGAUCUGGACACAAGCGCCUUCAUAAAGCCCACAGUGUAGAAAGGCAGCAGCUUCCAUACAGAGGGCCGCAAAACGCCUAACUGCCUGACUUUCCAAAUAUCCUUUUCACCUCACUGAGUCCUGGAAAACUCUAGGCCCCAACACCUACACCACUGGAAUGUACAGCAGCAUCCUAGUGUACAUGCAGUACCACAGAGAAUGCCUGCAGAGCCUAGACCACGAGCUCCUGAGAUUACAAGAGAGUUAAAUGCAAAGACUCCUCUUGACUGCGGGACUCAUGCAAGGUCUCUUUUAAAUUGUUGAAAAAACAGUUCAGGUAACAAAAAGUACAAAACCAAGGGAUGUGAAUUAUGAAAGAAAACCAUCAGCAUUGCAAAGAAGUCAAUGCCGGCACAAAAUAAGAAGCAGCAGUCACCCGAAGCCGGACUUACAAAAACCCGUUUAGAACAAAGAAACAGAGGAAGGGAGUCGAUGCUCCCACGAGAAGAUGAAUGGUUUUCAGCACCCUCUGAGGAAAACGAAACUCCGAAAAUGGAAAGCGAACUCAGACACGUUUAAGAAUGGCAGGGAUGAGGCACACAGCGAGUUCCAUUGAAGCAGAGGAGAAAGUUAGAGAAACGGAAGCAUCCCCUAGAACGUGGCCUGCAAUGACAAAGAGAUGAUGACAGGAGGUAAGAGAACUGAUUCGGAGAGAUCGGUGACAGAGCAAGUCCAACAUACCUCCACUGGGAUCCCAGGAGAGAGACUGAAAGACUGAGAGAGAGGCCUCAAAGGGAGAAUGACUGAGAAGUUUCCAGAACUGAAGAAAGACAUGAUGAGUCUUCAAACUGAAGAAGCACACCAAGUCCUGAGCAAAACAAAUAAAAAUAGUAUUUUUAACAAGGAAUCCAUUUUUUAUAGGUCUUUCCAAAUUAGCUCCUUUUUGUUGUUUUUGCUAAUUCUUACUUUUGAGUUUAACCAUCCACAAUUAAUUUAAGUAUUCAAUUUAAGGACAGGAAAGACAUAUAAGUGACAAGAACACGCACAUCAGAAACAGAAAACCAAAAGAGAGAAGAAAAUAAUCAAGGCAAAUGUGACUUUAGUGCAGAAAACACAGACAGCAAAAGAAAAAAAAAUAUGGUCGUCUGGAAACACUAUCAAAAUGGACAAAGGCAUUAUUAGCCUUGCAUUUCUCUUGUUACUUUACCAUGCACAUAUACUUUGAAGAUGUUCUUCUAGGCCUAAAUUGUUAUCAUUCAAGAGUACUAAAUCCAAACAAGGGCUGAGGACUUGAUCGCAGAUGCAGGCUGGCGCCGGAAGUAACUGCGAACGGGUGAGCUUUUGAAGACAGCGGUGGCGCUUCAUCUGCUACCAACACAUAAUAGGUACUAUUCUCGGUAAAAUUGUAAAAUGUCAAGGUCUGAGAUGGAAAAAAAAAGACUGCCUACCUGCAAUGCCACGGCCCUACCACUAAUAGUAUAAAGUCAGUCAGCAAAAGCAGAUGUCAUGAGGAACUGGAAUCACAAACAGAAGAGAGGGAAGCCCAAAAGAGACGAUGCAACACAGGAUAGAAUGUUUAAUGCUAUGAAAUUCCGAGUUUUCUCCCACUCUUUUUUGCUGGAGCGGAGAAACUGGCUUGCCAGCCUUCCUUGCUUUUCAGUUUAGACAUCUGGGUGCAUUUCCUGUUGGUUGUUCUUUAUUAAAAUGAACUCUAUUACACUGGG